AAUAAGGUGGCUGAAAAGUUUAGGCGGUAAAUUGUAAAUUUAUAUAUGAGUUAAAAGUUUCUCUCUUAUUA
rnacentral:tRNA from 1 species